CCUGUUUGUAUCCGCUUAUAAGCGGCUUAUGGGCGAAAAUAAGCGAAAAUCCCACCCAAACGCCUCGCUUAUUUUUCGCUUAGCACACAAGCGGCUUAGCCCAGAAUCCACAAAACAACUGGAUCUCCGAUUUUCUGGUAAGCAGCUCGGGAGACGCUUAUCUCGUAAGCGAACUCCCUUUCCCCCGAUACCCUCUGCCGGCCGCCGGCUCCCGCGCUCCGCCGGCACCUCCCUCCACGGCCGCCGCCUCCCGCGCUCCGCCGGCACCUCCCUCCACGGCCGCCGCC
rnacentral:lncRNA from 1 species